UGAACGCUGGCGGCAGGCCUAACACAUGCAAGUCGAGCGGUAACAGGGGAAGCUUGCUUCUCGCUGACGAGCGGCGGACGGGUGAGUAAUGUAUGGGGAUCUGCCCGAUAGAGGGGGAUAACCACUGGAAACGGUGGCUAAUACCGCAUAAUCUCUUAGGAGCAAAGCAGGGGAACUUCGGUCCUUGCGCUAUCGGAUGAACCCAUAUGGGAUUAGCUAGUAGGUGGGGUAAUGGCUCACCUAGGCGACGAUCCCUAGCUGGUCUGAGAGGAUGAUCAGCCACACUGGGACUGAGACACGGCCCAGACUCCUACGGGAGGCAGCAGUGGGGAAUAUUGCACAAUGGGCGCAAGCCUGAUGCAGCCAUGCCGCGUGUAUGAAGAAGGCCCUAGGGUUGUAAAGUACUUUCAGUCGGGAGGAAGGCGUUGAUGCUAAUAUCAUCAACGAUUGACGUUACCGACAGAAGAAGCACCGGCUAACUCCGUGCCAGCAGCCGCUGUAAUACGGAGGGUGCAAGCGUUAAUCGGAAUUACUGGGCGUAAAGCGCACGCAGGCGGUUGAUUAAGUUAGAUGUGAAAUCCCCGGGCUUAACCUGGGAAUGGCAUCUAAGACUGGUCAGCUAGAGUCUUGUAGAGGGGGGUAGAAUUCCAUGUGUAGCGGUGAAAUGCGUAGAGAUGUGGAGGAAUACCGGUGGCGAAGGCGGCCCCCUGGACAAAGACUGACGCUCAGGUGCGA
rnacentral:rRNA from 1 species